AGUGAACGCUGGCGGUAGGCCUAACACAUGCAAGUCGAACGGCAGCACAGUAAGAGCUUGCUCUUACGGGUGGCGAGUGGCGGACGGGUGAGGAAUACAUCGGAAUCUACUUUUUCGUGGGGGAUAACGUAGGGAAACUUACGCUAAUACCGCAUACGACCUACGGGUGAAAGCAGGGGAUCUUCGGACCUUGCGCGAUUGAAUGAGCCGAUGUCGGAUUAGCUAGUUGGCGGGGUAAAGGCCCACCAAGGCGACGAUCCGUAGCUGGUCUGAGAGGAUGAUCAGCCACACUGGAACUGAGACACGGUCCAGACUCCUACGGGAGGCGGCAGUGGGGAAUAUUGGACAAAGGGCGCAAGCCUGAUCCAGCCAUACCGCGUGGGUGAAGAAGGCCUUCGGGUUGUAAAGCCCUUUUGUUGGGAAAGAAAAGCAGCAGGUUAAUACCCCGCUGUUCUGACGGUACCCAAAGAAUAAGCACCGGCUAACUUCGUG
rnacentral:rRNA from 1 species